rnacentral:rRNA from 1 species
GACAGAGGCCUCAAGCGUUAGGCGGAAUCACUGGGCGUAAAGCGCACGUAGGCGGACUCUUAAGUCGGUGGUGAAAUCCUGGAGCUCAACUCCAGAACUGCCUUCGAUACUGAGAGUCUCGAGUCCGGGAGAGGUGAGUGGAACUGCGAGUGUAGAGGUGAAAUUCGUAGAUAUUCGCAAGAACACCAGUGGCGAAGGCGGCUCACUGGCCCGGUACUGACGCUGAGGUGCGAAAGCGUGGGGAGCAAACAGG